rnacentral:rRNA from 1 species
AGCCACGGGAAACUGUGGGUAAUACUCGAUAAACUUCCCAAUCAUUAUGGAAGGGGAAGCAAUGGGUGUGAUUCCACCUGAGGAGCGGCUUACGCAGUAUCAGCUAGUUGGUGAGGUAACGGCUCACCAAGGCUACGACGCUUAGGGGGUGUGAGAGCAUGGCCCCCACCACUGGCACUGAGACACUGGCCAGACACCUACGGGUGGCUGCAGUCGAGAAUCUUCGGCAAUGGACGCAAGUCUGACCGAGCGACGCCGCGUGUGGGAUGAAGGCCUUCGGGUUGUAAACCACUGUCAGAGGGGAUGAAGUAUACGAGAGUUAUCUCUUGUAUUUGACAGAGCCUCAGAGGAAGCACGGGCUAAGUUCGUGCCAGCAGCCGCGGUAAUACGAACUGUGCGAACGUUAUUCGGAAUCACUGGGCUUAAAGGGUGCGUAGGCGGUUAUCUAAGUCAGGUGUGAAAUCUCUCGGCUCAACCGGGAAACUGCGCUUGAAACUGGAUGACUGGAGGGAUGCAGGGGUGUGUGGAACUUCCGGUGGAGCGGUGAAAUGUGUAGAUAUCGGAAGGAACGCCAGCAGCGAAAGCGGCACACUGGGCAUCUACUGACGCUGAGGCACGAAAGCUAGGGGAGUGAACGGGAUUAGAUACCCCGGUAAUCCUAGCCGUAAACACUGAACACUGGGGGGAGGGAGGCUUCGGCCUUUCUUUCCGUAGCGAAAGCGUUAAGUGUUCCGCCUGGGGG